rnacentral:rRNA from 1 species
GGUUAAGCGACUAAGCGUACACGGUGGAUGCCCUGGCAGUCAGAGGCGAUGAAGGACGUGCUAAUCUGCGAUAAGCGUCGGUAAGGUGAUAUGAACCGUUAUAACCGGCGAUUUCCGAAUGGGGAAACCCAGUGUGAUUCGUCACACUAUCAUUAACUGAAUCCAUAGGUUAAUGAGGCGAACCGGGGGAACUGAAACAUCUAAGUACCCCGAGGAAAAGAAAUCAACCGAGAUUCCCCCAGUAGCGGCGAGCGAACGGGGAGGAGCCCAGAGCCUGAAUCAGUGUGUGUGUUAGUGGAAGCGUCUGGAAAGGCGCGCGAUACAGGGUGACAGCCCCGUACACAAAAAUGCACAUACUGUGAGCUCGAUGAGUAGGGCGGGACACGUGGUAUCCUGUCUGAAUAUGGGGGGACCAUCCUCCAAGGCUAAAUACUCCUGACUGACCGAUAGUGAACCAGUACCGUGAGGGAAAGGCGAAAAGAACCCCGGCGAGGGGAGUGAAAAAGAACCUGAAACCGUGUACGUACAAGCAGUGGGAGCCUCUUAAUGGGGUGACUGCGUACCUUUUGUAUAAUGGGUCAGCGACUUAUAUUCUGUAGCAAGGUUAACCGAAUAGGGGAGCCGAAGGGAAACCGAGUCUUAACUGGGCGUUAAGUUGCAGGGUAUAGACCCGAAACCCGGUGAUCUAGCCAUGGGCAGGUUGAAGGUUGGGUAACACUAACUGGAGGACCGAACCGACUAAUGUUGAAAAAUUAGCGGAUGACUUGUGGCUGGGGGUGAAAGGCCAAUCAAACCGGGAGAUAGCUGGUUCUCCCCGAAAGCUAUUUAGGUAGCGCCUCGUGAAUUCAUCUCCGGGGGUAGAGCACUGUUUCGGCAAGGGGGUCAUCCCGACUUACCAACCCGAUGCAAACUGCGAAUACCGGAGAAUGUUAUCACGGGAGACACACGGCGGGUGCUAACGUCCGUCGUGAAGAGGGAAACAACCCAGACCGCCAGCUAAGGUCCCAAAGUCAUGGUUAAGUGGGAAACGAUGUGGGAAGGCCCAGACAGCCAGGAUGUUGGCUUAGAAGCAGCCAUCAUUUAAAGAAAGCGUAAUAGCUCACUGGUCGAGUCGGCCUGCGCGGAAGAUGUAACGGGGCUAAACCAUGCACCGAAGCUGCGGCAGCGACGCUUAUGCGUUGUUGGGUAGGGGAGCGUUCUGUAAGCCUGUGAAGGUGGCCUGUGAGGGUUGCUGGAGGUAUCAGAAGUGCGAAUGCUGACAUAAGUAACGAUAAAGCGGGUGAAAAGCCCGCUCGCCGGAAGACCAAGGGUUCCUGUCCAACGUUAAUCGGGGCAGGGUGAGUCGACCCCUAAGGCGAGGCCGAAAGGCGUAGUCGAUGGGAAACAGGUUAAUAUUCCUGUACUUGGUGUUACUGCGAAGGGGGGACGGAGAAGGCUAUGUUGGCCGGGCGACGGUUGUCCCGGUUUAAGCGUGUAGGCUGGUUUUCCAGGCAAAUCCGGAAAAUCAAGGCUGAGGCGUGAUGACGAGGCACUACGGUGCUGAAGCGACAAAUGCCCUGCUUCCAGGAAAAGCCUCUAAGCAUCAGGUAACAUUAAAUCGUACCCCAAACCGACACAGGUGGUCAGGUAGAGAAUACCAAGGCGCUUGAGAGAACUCGGGUGAAGGAACUAGGCAAAAUGGUGCCGUAACUUCGGGAGAAGGCACGCUGAUAUGUAGGUGAAGCGACUUGCUCGUGGAGCUGAAAUCAGUCGAAGAUACCAGCUGGCUGCAACUGUUUAUUAAAAACACAGCACUGUGCAAACACGAAAGUGGACGUAUACGGUGUGACGCCUGCCCGGUGCCGGAAGGUUAAUUGAUGGGGUUAGCGGUAACGCGAAGCUCUUGAUCGAAGCCCCGGUAAACGGCGGCCGUAACUAUAACGGUCCUAAGGUAGCGAAAUUCCUUGUCGGGUAAGUUCCGACCUGCACGAAUGGCGUAAUGAUGGCCAGGCUGUCUCCACCCGAGACUCAGUGAAAUUGAACUCGCUGUGAAGAUGCAGUGUACCCGCGGCAAGACGGAAAGACCCCGUGAACCUUUACUAUAGCUUGACACUGAACAUUGAGCCUUGAUGUGUAGGAUAGGUGGGAGGCUUUGAAGUGUGGACGCCAGUCUGCAUGGAGCCGACCUUGAAAUACCACCCUUUAAUGUUUGAUGUUCUAACGUGGGCCCCUUACCGGGGUUGCGGACAGUGUCUGGUGGGUAGUUUGACUGGGGCGGUCUCCUCCUAAAGAGUAACGGAGGAGCACGAAGGUUGGCUAAUCCUGGUCGGACAUCAGGAGGUUAGUGCAAUGGCAUAAGCCAGCUUGACUGCGAGCGUGACGGCGCGAGCAGGUGCGAAAGCAGGUCAUAGUGAUCCGGUGGUUCUGAAUGGAAGGGCCAUCGCUCAACGGAUAAAAGGUACUCCGGGGAUAACAGGCUGAUACCGCCCAAGAGUUCAUAUCGACGGCGGUGUUUGGCACCUCGAUGUCGGCUCAUCACAUCCUGGGGCUGAAGUAGGUCCCAAGGGUAUGGCUGUUCGCCAUUUAAAGUGGUACGCGAGCUGGGUUUAGAACGUCGUGAGACAGUUCGGUCCCUAUCUGCCGUGGGCGCUGGAGAACUGAGGGGGGCUGCUCCUAGUACGAGAGGACCGGAGUGGACGCAUCACUGGUGUUCGGGUUGUCAUGCCAAUGGCACUGCCCGGUAGCUAAAUGCGGAAGAGAUAAGUGCUGAAAGCAUCUAAGCACGAAACUUGCCCCGAGAUGAGUUCUCCCUGAGACUUAGAGUCUCCUGAAGGAACGUUGAAGACGACGACGUUGAUAGGCCGGGUGUGUAAGCGCAGCGAUGCGUUGAGCUAACCGGUACUAAUGAACCGUGAGGCUUAACCUU